rnacentral:rRNA from 1 species
UUUUUUUCUUUCUUUCUUCGCUUUUCAUCCACCUGUGCACUUUUUGUAGAAGUUCUUGUUGUUCAGAUGAGACUUCUAUGUUCUUUACAAACUAAAAAUGUUGAGAAUGUGUUGUUAUAUUUUAUUGGGACUUCAUUGACCCAUAAAAAAAAACCCUUUAUACAACUUUCAGCAAUGGAUCUCUUGGCUCUCCCAUCGAUGAAGAACGCAGCGAAAUGCGAUAAGUAAUGUGAAUUGCAGAAUUCAGUGAAUCAUCGAAUCUUUGAACGCACCUUGCACCCUCUGGUAUUCCGGAGGGUAUGCCUGUUUGAGUGUCAUUAAAUUCUCAACUUCAAAAAAGGUUUUCUUUUUUGUUGUUUGGAUGUGGAGGUUUUGCUGGUUAUCUCGUUUGAGUUUCAGCUCCUCUUAAAUGCAUUAGUGGAGACUUAUAACCCGUUGUGUUGAUCCCAUUUUGAUGUGAUAAUUAUCUACAUUUUAGUGGUUUCAGCUUUGCUCUCAGAAAUCUGAUUUCUGGUUGAGAAUAUUGCAAAGAUCUAUCUUUGGCUUUAUUCUGAUAGUGGG